UGUUCUAGAUGUUGUUGAGUAUUUAAAAGUUGUGGUAUAAUUAGUUUAAAAGAAUUACUGCAUUUGAUCUUAGCUAACCCUCCACAAUAAAGGAAAGCCUGAACAGUUUGUAGAAGACUUCAAAAGACAUUGAAACAGGCAGUGGAGGUACAUAUGGGUUAGUAAAAGAUAAUGAUUGAUGCUUUUUAACUCAGCAGUGUGUAAUCCUAUACCACUCAGUGCAAGCAUGCACUGAUUGCAGUGGGAGUCCUCUGGAAUUAAAGCAAAAUCAUUUUUUCAUCAGUUUGGUUUAACUGUUUCAUUAGUUUGCACAAAUUAAUUUUAAUUUUUAAUUUAAAAAUGAAUAUUGUUCUGAAAGUAUCUGCAUGUAUCUCCUGUGUUCUGGUGUACAUCUGAAACUGUAAAUUCUGCUGUCACUUCUCAGUCAACGUCUCUAUCUCUUUCCAUCAUGUUACUAUACGGAUUUGGAAAGAGGCAGAAAAAAGUCCUGUGCAGCGUACAGGUGCAGUAUGAUGUGGUGCUAGCUCAGAUCCUCACCCUUACGGUUGGGAUGCUUCUGUAGUGCCGUGUGCUCUCGUCUGUUGGAUCACUGCUCUGCCUGGAAUGGACAGCAAUGGAAAUCAGUGCACAAAACUACUCUGGAUACACUGUUUCAUACUGCAGUCUGGAGGACCCUGCUUCUUCCUGGCAGCCUACCCACUGGAGGUGGAAUGUACUGUUUGCCCUGCGUCGCACUGUGCUGUGCGUCUCUUGUGGCUGAGACAGCAGCAAUCUGCCAGCAGAGAGCAGUGCAGCCCGUUGUCACUGCUUGAGGGAAGAUAAAUGGAAACAUAUGUCAGGAACAAAGCACAUAAAUAAGGAAUACAGAGAAGCACUAAAUGCACAGUUAGAACUGAACAUAAAGGUGAGGCAGGAAAGAUGCUCUCAAGGAGUAAAAUAGUGAAGAAUGAAGGCAACACUUGGUGAACA